UUUAGGACUCUUUCUCACACCAUGACUCGUGGUCGAAGUUUUUCCAAUCUCGUAACUAUGCUACUUUCUAUCAUGCAGCAUGUAUGACACUGACUGUAUGUGUGCCUAUGCAACUCUUCUCUCCUUUUUGUUCCAGAGUGUAGCCAAUCUCUAGGCCUCACUUUGCAAACAUAUACAGAGCUUUAAAAAAAUGUCUCUCUGGGCAUCUAUAGGUAUACUGAAGUUCUUC
rnacentral:lncRNA from 1 species